rfam:Triticum aestivum genome assembly, contig: Triticum_aestivum_CS42_TGACv1_scaffold_576839_7BL
AUAGUACUCCCUCCGUCCCAAAAUUCUUGUCUUACUACGGAUGUAUUUAACACUAAAAUAUGAAGAAAUACAUCUGUAUAUAGACAAAUCUAAGACAAGAAUUUUAGGACGGAGAGAGUAGAAU